GCCGAUGUGGUAUAGUGGUUUGGAUGUUGGACUAACACUAAAGACCAUGGUUUGAUUCCUCGCUCGGCC